rnacentral:rRNA from 1 species
GACGAACGCUGGCGGCGUGCCUAACACAUGCAAGUCGAACGAGAUCCAUGGGAGCUUGCUCCCGGAAGAUCUAGUGGCGAACGGGUGAGUAACACGUGAGAAACCUGCCCUGGAGUGGGGAAUAACUCGGGGAAACUCGAGCUAAUACCGCAUACCCUCGGAUGGUCGCAUGGCCGACCGAGGAAAGAUUUAUCGCUCUAGGAGGGUCUCGCGGCCUAUCAGCUAGUUGGUGGGGUAACGGCCUACCAAGGCAACGACGGGUAGCUGGUUUGAGAGAACGAUCAGCCACACUGGGACUGAGACACGGCCCAGACUCCUACGGGAGGCAGCAGUGGGGAAUCUUGCGCAAUGGGCGAAAGCCUGACGCAGCAACGCCGCGUGCGGGAUGACGGCCUCGUGGUUGUAACG